ensembl:lncRNA
CUGAAUUCUAGAAAAUUGAUGUUGGUGAUUGGAGCCCCUAGGAGGACAGGGGUGACCUGGAGGCAGAGAAGGCAGGCCUGGGAAUGCCACAAAGAGCUUGUCCAUUGGAUCUGGGUUUGAAGGGGUGACUGGGGGUUAACUAUAGAGCAGAAUAAGGUGACGGCCUUGCAAGUGUGAAAAAAUGGCAAGCGUAGGAUCAUGGCAGCAGGAUACUUGGAGGCAGAAGAAUCAUGGACCACUGGAAUACUGGGGGCAUGAGCUGUGACGUGGCAGGAGAUAAAGCUCAACUAGACUAAGUCUCUUUCUUCAGCCAGUAGCAUAUCAAAAAGCAAACUCAGGAAAAGGAGUUACUGACAAGAAAUGAAGAGAUGCAAGGAUUGAGAUCAUGAAAACAGUUCCUGAAAAUAUCUAUCUAAAGACCUGUUCCACCCAUCUCCCUGGAGCACAAAGUGCCUCACUCUCCAUGCUGAAUUCCCUCCAGGGAGUGUUGAAGGUCAGCAGCUGCAGCAGAGCAGGCAGAUGGAAAAUGCCCUUGUU